rnacentral:rRNA from 1 species
CCCGAAACCGACACAGGUGGUCAGGUCGAGUAGACCAAAGCGCUUGAGAGAACUCUGCUGAAGGAACUAGGCAAAAUGGUACCGUAACUUCGGGAGAAGGUACGCUGUCGACGGUGAUGGGAUUUACUCCCUGAGCGGUUGACAGCCACAGAAACCAGGCCCCUGCAACUGUUUAUUAAAAACAUAGCACUCUGCAAACACGAAAGUGGACGUAUAGGGUGUGAUGCCUGCCCGGUGCUGGAAGGUUAAUUGAUGGGGUUAGCGUAAGCGAAGCUCUUGAUCGAAGCCCCAGUAAACGGCGGCCGUAACUAUAACGGUCCUAAGGUAGCGAAAUUCCUUGUCGGGUAAGUUCCGACCUGCACGAAUGGCAUAAUGAUGGGGGCGCUGUCUCCAGCAGAGACUCAGUGAAAUCGAAAUCGCCGUGAAGAUGCGGUGUACCCGCGGCUAGACGGAAAGACCCCGUGAACCUUUACUGCAGCUUGACAUUGAACUUUGAUCUUACUUGUGUAGGAUAGGUGGGAGGCUUUGAAACCAGGACGCUAGUUCUGGUGGAGCCAAUCUUGAAAUACCACCCUGGUAAUAUUGAGGUUCUAACUCUGCUCCCUAAUCGGGAGCGAGGACCAUGUCUGGUGGGUAGUUUGACUGGGGCGGUCUCCUCCUAAAGAGUAACGGAGGAGUACGAAGGUGCGCUCAGCGUGGUCGGAAAUCACGCGUAGAGUAUAAAGGCA